rnacentral:lncRNA from 1 species
ACAGCUGACCAUAGGAGAACACCGGUUUAGGCAAAUACACACUAGCAUUAGGGCCUUGUUUAGUUCUGAAUUUUUUUUUGGUUUUUGAUACUGUAACAUUUUUGUUUUUAUUGGCAAAUAUUGUCUAAUCAUGGACUAACUAGGCUCAAAAGAUUCAUCUCGUGAUUUACGGAUAAACUGUGUAAUUAGCUUUUGUUUUCAUCUAUACUUAAUGUUUCAUGCAUGUGCAGCAAGAUUCGAUGUGACGGAGAAUCUUGAAAAGUUUUUAGUUUUUAGGGUGAACUAAACAAGGCCUAGGGAUAGUUUGCCCUUGCGCCUUGUUAAUUGUCAUGGCAAAGCUGAAUCUAAUAGCAAACUGCUUCAUGUUAAAUUGGAACGGAAACAUCUCAUCAUCCAAGGGGCAUAAUGCAAUCCAUGGUAAGAAGAUUCGUUUUCUGGCAUGAUCUCCAACCAUAAUUUCUGCAUCUAUGGUAUUUCUCUAGAACCCUCGAACCACCAGCCUAGUUCCAUCGCAAACUCCAACCGUAGGGUCGAUGUUCUUAGUAAUAUAAUCGGGCACCCAAUCUUGAGCUUUAACACAUGUGGAG